GAUUCCUAUAUAAAGCGAAGUCUUUCCUUCUUCCCUCCCUUUUAUGUUGAACACUUGCUCUUGACGUACGUUGUUCGUGCAUAUCUCUUAAAUAUUUAAAAAUGGGUCAUACAACUCUUUGGUUUUCUCAUCCCAGACGAUUUGGACCAGGAUCACGACAAUGGUAAGACUCCUUUUUCUUCUCUCUCUCUCUCUCUAUAUAUAUAUAUAUAUUUAUACGAUACACGAUUAUGUUUAUCCAUAAAACGGAACAUUUCCGUCGUCCAAAUCGGUAUUUCUCCAGACACGUGUGUUCAUAGUUUUCACUGCCAUUGAUAAAAUUAUAUGUUUAUUUAUUUAUUUAUUCUGUACUCUCUUAAUAUAUUUUGAAGAUGAAACUAAUCAUUAGAUAUUAAAACAUCAGAAAUAAAUUACUAUAAAUGCUUUAUGUUCGAUGUUCCUAUUUCUCCCACCUUGAAGAAAUGUGGUCGCCAUGUUGUUAGUCUUUGCCAUGGCCGUUUCCUCUCAUAUUCACCAAAACGUAUUUAUUUAAUAGCAUUACUGUAAUGCUUUACCAAUGUUGCUUUCCUCUCUCUUUAUUUAUAUAUACCUUAAUCGAGGUCAUUUUGUUUUAUAUAGCAUGUUAAAAUAAAUAUUUGAAGUACAAGUCCGGAGAGAAAGAUGUAGUAACGUUGACUAAUUCAUCAUUUAAAAUUAAGUAUUAUCUUUGAAAGUUACCAUUUACUUUGGUACUACUUAAGAAGAGUGGUCCCGGUGCGCGCACUCGCGCUAGCUAGUCGUGACUAGUCAAUCCUUUGUUUUAAAAAGAAUUAUUUAUUUUGUGUUUUAUUUACUUUGCUAGGAUCGACUAGUCACGACUAGCUUACGCGAGUGCGCGCACCGGGAUCACUCUUUUUAAGUAGUACCCCAUUUACCUUGGUACCUUCAUUAAAUGUUUAUUAAAUUGUUUAGCUCCAAAUCAGCUGUGAGCAUCCUAUUUAAGGUGGUAUGAUGUGAUUUAAAGAUUUUGCUGCUAUUUCUAGCAGAUGGCGCUUCCGUCUAGAAGCUGCCUCAUCAAUUCGGCUAUGCACGUGUGUGAUGAUAGUUGUAUGAUGAUAAUUUAAUUCUUAAAUUCAAGAGUGUUUUUUCAAGUAUAUCCAUUAAGAUCAAGAAUGCUUUUUUUCCGGCCAUUCUUUAAUGGCAUGUUACUUCCUACUAUUCCCGAUCCAAAUAAAAUGCUACUCUAAGUUAUCGCUCGCCCUGCUAGAAGUAGCAGUAAAAUCGCACCCUCUACCAACUAUAAUCCAAGUUGUGUGUAUGUAACAUAUCUUCCGGUGUAUUUGUUGACGAUAAUUGAGUAUUCUUCGAUUGUAUUGAUACUUAAAUGUAUAUAAUAUAUUUGAGUCAGUUGAAGCCUUCCUUGGCUCAUAGCGCCUUUUAUAUUACGUGUAUGGAAUACCUGAAUAUAUAUAAAAAUUCUAAGGUGUGAUAUUUAGUAUCUACAAUAAAAUAUACCAUAAGAUGGUAAUUAACUCAGCUUCAUUAAUCUUAAUCGUAUAUAAUAAUUUAGGUGGUGAAGUGGCUGAAUGUGUGGUCCCUUUCGUUUUGGGCGAUGGUAAAGAAAACGCACACCCGGUGAUUGGGGUUGGGGUUUUUGUUACACCGAAAACGGGCGGUGUGAGUAUUCUUUACCGCCGCCUCGUUUUGUACCGAAUGCUUACUAUAUGUAAACAACCAUUUGUCUUUAUCGUUAUAGUUUCAUUUUUAUAAACUUUGUAUUUUUCCUUUUUCUUCCAUCAGUCGAGUCUGUGCCAACACUCACGGUGUCAUAAGGAAAUACAGUCUCUUCAUGUGCCGGAGAUGUUUCCGAGAAUAUUCCAAUGACAUUGGAUUUAAGAAGGUACGAGAAUUUAUGUCGCUAAAUUUGAUGGUACUACUUAAGAAGAGUGGUCCCGGUGCGCGCAUCCGCGCUAGCUGGUCGUGACUAGUCGAUCCUACAACGAUUACCUAGCAAAGUAAAUAAAACAUAAACACAAAGCAAGGAUCGAUUAGUCACGACUAGCUAACGUGGAUACGUGAGUGCGCGCACCAGGACCACUUUUCGUAAGUAGUACCAAUUUGAUUUUCAGAUAUUCCGAAGAUAUCAGUUCAAAACAUUACUUGACGAUUUGAUCAAUUUUGAGCACAGAAAAUUCAAAUUUCAACAGGUCACUACUGUUAGACAAUUGAAGUCCAAUAGAGGGAAGUAUGGACCAGAAUUAAUACAGUUUGUGCUGAACGGGUAAGGAAUGUGGGUAAAAUUUUAGCAUAUGUCCAAAAGCCAAAAUAAAUCGAGCUGUCGAGAAUGUUUCAAACUUUCAUAUCCUGGAAUACUCUUGAAUUUGUUUUUUUGUUUGUGUGGUUUUUAAUAUUUAUUAAAAAUGUCUUUCUCUUUUUUCAGCUUGACUAAUGGUUAACGCAAACAUGGCCUGAAGCUUGUUAAGAAACAUCAUUUAACUGGGUUAAAUGUCAAUAAAUUACAUUGUAAUAUACAUAU
rnacentral:lncRNA from 1 species